CAUAGUGCAUGCAUUCUUUUUGUGUCAGGGUUUUUCACUCUUUGUAAGUUUCAGCUACCUCAUGUACAGCUGAGGGUUCUUCAUAUUCUUCCUUGUUUGAUAUUGCCUACAGUUUCGCUCUUGUUACCCAGGCUGGAGUGCAAUGGAGUGAUCUCGGCUCACGGCAACCUCUGCCUCCUGAAUUCAGGCAAUACUCCUACCUCAGCCUCCUGAGUAGCUGGGAUUACAGUGUGUUUCAUUGUCAGUUAUUGGACCAUUCUUGUUUAAAACCUCACUGACAUGUUUCAUUCCAAUGUACCCUUGGAGCACUGCUUAUGAUCAAAUGCCAUCAUCUAUAUUAUGAAAUCUCACCAGACUGCAUCCUGCCAUAAGGUUCAAAAGCUGCUGUGUCUCUUCUUCUCUGAAGCCCCUUUGAUGUCCCCUGCCUGCAGCCAAGACCAUGACUGGAGUGCAGUGGUGCAAUCUUGGAUUAUGGCAACCUCCGCUUCCGAGGUUCAAGAGAGUCUUCUCCCUCAGCCUCCCGAAUAGCUGGAAUUACAGGUAUAUGCAACCAUGCCCGGCUAAUUUUGUAUGUAUAGUAGAGAUGGGGUUUCUACGUGUUGGUCAGGCUGGUCUCAAACUCCCGAUCUUAGGUGAUUCAC